GACGAACGCUGGCGGCGUGCUUAACACAUGCAAGUCGAACGCUGAAGCUCAGCUUUUGUUGGGUGGAUGAGUGGCGAACGGGUGAGUAACACGUGAGUAACCUGCCUCCUUCUUUGGGAUAACGCCCGGAAACGGGUGCUAAUACUGGAUAUUCACUGGUCUUCGCAUGGGGGUUGGUGGAAAGGGUUUUUCUGGUGGGGGAUGGGCUCGCGGCCUAUCAGCUUGUUGGUGGGGUGAUGGCCUACCAAGGCUUUGACGGGUAGCCGGCCUGAGAGGGUGACCGGUCACAUUGGGACUGAGAUACGGCCCAGACUCCUACGGGAGGCAGCAGUGGGGAAUAUUGCACAAUGGGCGCAAGCCUGAUGCAGCGACGCCGCGUGAGGGAUGGAGGCCUUCGGGUUGUGAACCUCUUUCGCUCAUGGUCAAGCCGCAACAAUGGUCGUGGUGAGGGUAGUGGGUAAAGAAGCGCCGGCUAACUACGUG
rnacentral:rRNA from 1 species